rnacentral:lncRNA from 1 species
UAAAUACAAAAAUCGUCGUAUCGUUUACAUAAAAUAAAUUAUAUAUAUCAGAGCAUACAUAUGUGCAUUUAUUUCUUGGUAUGUGUGUCCAAGAACUCUUUUCAUAGUCAUCUCUUCUUCUACUCAUCACCAUCUCUUCCAAAACCAACGUUGUCGAUUGAAUGAACGACCAAUAAAAGAACCGCCUCCAAAGCUUCAUCUCUUGUCCGACAUCAAAAGCUUUGCCGUUCACCAUGUCGUUGGUUUGCAACCACCUGCAAAAAAGGAGAAGAAAAGAGAGAGGAGAAAGAAGAAAGAAUAUGAUUCUUAAGGUUUUUAUUUUUUAUUUUUCACUACUUCAAAAAGCAA